rnacentral:rRNA from 1 species
AGCGAACGCUGGCGGCAGGCCUAACACAUGCAAGUCGAACGAACUCUUCGGAGUUAGUGGCGGACGGGUGAGUAACACGUGGGAACGUGCCUUUAGGUUCGGAAUAACUCAGGGAAACUUGUGCUAAUACCGAAUGUGCCCUUCGGGGGAAAGAUUUAUCGCCUUUAGAGCGGCCCGCGUCUGAUUAGCUAGUUGGUGGGGUAAUGGCCCACCAAGGCUACGAUCAGUAGCUGGUCUGAGAGGAUGACCAGCCACAUUGGGACUGAGACACGGCCCAAACUCCUACGGGAGGCAGCAGUGGGGAAUCUUGCGCAAUGGGCGAAAGCCUGACGCAGCCAUGCCGCGUGGAUGAUGAAGGUCUUAGGAUUGUAAAAUCCUUUCACCGGUGAAGAUAAUGACUGUAGCCGGAGAAGAAGCCCCGGCUAACUUCGUGCCAGCCGCCGCGGUAAAAC